GCUGAUGAACUUAAGAUAAAUAGCAAAAUGGUUGUACAUUUGUGGUUUAUAACUAUAACUUACCGUUGGACCUUGGGAUUUAAGAAUUACGAGAAAGAAAACAAUAAGCUCUCAUUAUCUGAUUUCAUGUUUUGAGGAAAAAUGUGGGUGGAAGUCCCAUAUUUUGUACAAUUUUCACAUUUUUAAAUCAUUUGUUGAUUGCUGGGAUGUUUCAUUAUCUACUAAAUAGCACGGUUUGGAGAGAACGACAUGUGAUAGAUUUAAAAUAGUCAUUUCUACUUUCAGGAUGAAAUACAACUAAUAAAAUUAUACUAAUGUUCCUUAUUAAAAAUAAAGUUAUACUAAUGCAUUAUUCUUAAGAGAGGGAAAAAGCAGUUGAUGUCUGAUAUCAUUUGCCGCUACCUAAAAGAAACUCGAGCAAGAAACAGAAAAGAAAGUCUUCCAUCAUCACAAAAGAAUACUUACUACAAUGUGCUUCUGGAAAGACCAUGGUAACAUUUAUGUUGUUGAUCACCAAAGAAGCAGCAAAUUUUAGCAAUUGAGUUGAAGGUAACAUUUAUGUUGUUGAUCACCAAAGAAGCAGCACAUUCCAUUCCUAUGUAGCCACCACCAAUUACAACAGCAUUUCCACCACUGCUGGAUUGCAUCACAUUAACCAGCCUGUUUGCAUCAGCCAAAUCUCGUAAAUA
rnacentral:lncRNA from 1 species